ACCAAAUGCGUGCAUGUUCUACCAGUUGGA
rnacentral:piRNA from 1 species